AUGGUCCCUUCUCUAAAGGGUUGGGGAAUGAACGAGGGGGUCAAAGAGAUGCUGGUGAGCGGGACACCAGAGCGCAGGGCUCCGCGGGUGUCUUCCUCACGGAAACCACCAGACCCAGGGUCCCCGCCGCUGCGGUGUUCGAACCCGCGGACGCGGAUUUGCAGCAGCAGAAGCGGCAACGGCGAAGCACCCGCAGAAUGGGGUUUCGGUUCUCAAAAUUAAGAAGCAACAUGCCCAUAAUAAAACUGCAAGUGGACUCUAGAAGAAAAAGGAU
rnacentral:lncRNA from 1 species